rnacentral:rRNA from 2 species
AACUUAAACGAUUUCUUCGGAAUGAAUUUAAGCGGAUUAGUGGCGGACGGGUGAGUAACGCGUGAGUAACCUGCCUUACACAAGGGGAUAGCCUCUGGAAACGGAGAAUAAUACCCUAUAACACCAUCAAAUCGCAUGAAGUGAUGGUCAAAGUGUUGGCGGUGUAAGAUGGACUUGCGUCUGAUUAGCUAGUUGGUGAGAAAAAAGCCCACCAAGGCAACGAUCAGUAGCCGGCUUGAGAGAGUGUACGGCCACAUUGGGACUGAGACACGGCCCAGACUCCUACGGGAGGCAGCAGUGGGGAAUUUUGCACAAUGGGGGAAACCCUGAUGCAGCGACGCCGCGUGAUUUAGAAGGCCUUCGGGUUGUAAAAAUCUUUUGUAUAGGAAGAAAAUGACAGUACUAUACGAAUAAGGUCCGGCUAAUUACGUGCCAGCAGCCGCGGUAAUACGUAAGGACCGAGCGUUGUCCGGAAUCAUUGGGCGUAAAGGGUACGUAGGCGGGUUUUUAAGUUAGAAGUCAAAGGCUAUAGCUCAACUAUAGUAAGCUUCUAAAACUGGAAACCUUGAGAGAUGGAAGGGAAAGUGGAAUUCCUAGUGUAGCGGUGGAAUGCGCAGAUAUUAGAAGGAAUACCGGUGGCGAAGGCGACUUUC